rnacentral:lncRNA from 1 species
UGAACCGAGUCUCUAUAUGAAGUGUCUUUUAGUAAUGUUAUUGAGUAUUGGUAAAAUCGAAUAUCUCAUUUGUAUUAUUGAAAAUAUUUUUUUUUUUUAUUGCUUACAACACUGAAAACUUCCUUGGAAUUUAACAACUGAUUUCAUCCAAAUGUAGUUGUUUUAUUAAACGACUUGAAAAAAAUUGAUUGGAUGACUUUAUUCUCCUAGUAAUUCUCUUCCCAUAGUCAUUGAUGAAUCAU